rnacentral:rRNA from 1 species
GACGAACGCUGGCGGCGUGCCUAAUACAUGCAAGUAGAACGCUGAAGAGAGGAGCUUGCUCUUCUUGGAUGAGUUGCGAACGGGUGAGUAACGCGUAGGUAACCUGCCUGGUAGCGGGGGAUAACUAUUGGAAACGAUAGCUAAUACCGCAUAAAAUUGAUUAUUGCAUGAUAAUUAAUUGAAAGAUGCAACUGCAUCACUACCAGAUGGACCUGCGUUGUAUUAGCUAGUUGGUGAGGUAACGGCUCACCAAGGCGACGAUACAUGGCCGACCUGGGAGGGUGAUCGGCCACACUGGGACUGAGACACGGCCCAGACUCCUACGGGAGGCAGCAGUAGGGAAUCUUCGGCAAUGGGGGGAACCCUGACCGAGCAACGCCGCGUGAGUGAAGAAGGUUUUCGGAUCGUAAAGCUCUGUUGUAAGAGAAGAACGGGUGUGAGAGUGGAAAGUUCACACUGUGACGGUAUCUUACCAGAAAGGGACGGCUAACUACGUG